UACAGAGGGGGCAAGCGUUGUUCGGAAUUACUGGGCGUAAAGGGCGCGUAGGCGGCCCGCUAAGUCGAACGUGAAAUCCCCGAGCUCAACUCGGGAACUGCGUCCGAUACUGGCGGGCUUGAAUCCGGGAGAGGGAUGCGGAAUUCCAGGUGUAGCGGUGAAAUGCGUAGAUAUCUGGAGGAACACCGGUGGCGAAGGCGGGUCUCUGGGCAACAACUGACGCUGAGGAGCGAAAAGCGUGGGGAGCGAACAGG
rnacentral:rRNA from 1 species